rnacentral:rRNA from 1 species
AGAGUUUGAUCAUGGCUCAGAGCGAACGCUGGCGGCAGGCCUAACACAUGCAAGUCGAGCGGCCGUAGCAAUACGGCAGCGGCAGACGGGAGAGUAACACGUGGGAACGCGCCCUUCGGUUCGGGAUAACCCAGGGAAACUUGGGCUAAUACCGGAUACGCCCUUACGGGGAAAGAUUUAUUGCCGAAGGAACGGCCCGCGUCCGAUUAGCUAGUUGGUGAGGUAACGGCUCACCAAGGCGACGAUCGGUAGCUGGUCUGAGAGGAUGACCAGCCUCACUGGGACUGAGACACGGCCCAGACUCCUACGGGAGGCAGCAGUGGGGAAUAUUGGACAAUGGGCGCAAGCCUGAUCCAGCCAUGCCGCGUGGGUGAUGAAGGCCCUAGGGUUGUAAAGCCCUUUCAGCGGGGAAGAUAAUGACGGUACCCGCAGAAGAAGCCCCGGCUAACUUCGUGCCAGCCGCCGCGGUAAUAC